UACGUAGGGAGCAAGCGUUGUCCGGAAUCAUUGGGCGUAAAGCGCGCGUAGGCGGCCCUGUAAGUCCGUUGUGAAAGUCAAAGGCUCAACCUUUGAAAGCCGAUGGAUACUGCAGGGCUAGAGUCCGGAAGAGGCGAGUGGAAUUCCUGGUGUAGCGGUGGAAUGCGCAGAUAUCAGGAGGAACACCAAUAGCGAAGGCAGCUCGCUGGGACGGUACUGACGCUAAGGCGCGAAAGCGUGGGGAGCGACAGG
rnacentral:rRNA from 1 species